rnacentral:rRNA from 1 species
UGGGGGAUAUUGCACAAUGGGCGAAAGCCUGAUGCAGCGACGCCGCGUGGGGGAUGAAGGCCUUCGGGUUGUAAACUUCUUUUGCUCUGAACAAGGCAUGCCUUUGGGGUGUGUUGAGUGUAGGGGUUGAUUAGCGCCGGCUAACUACGUGCCAGCAGCCGCGGUAAUACGUAGGGCGCGAGCGUUGUCCGGAAUUAUUGGGCGUAAAGGGCUUGUAGGUGGCUGGUUGCGUCUGUCGUGAAAGCUCAUGGCUUAACUGGGGGUUUGCGGUGGGUACGGGCUGGCUUGAGUGCAGUAGGGGAGGCUGGAAUUCCUGGUGUAGCGGUGGAAUGCGCAGAUAUCAGGAGGAAUACCGGUGGCGAAGGCGGGUCUCUGGGCUGUUACUGACGCUGAGGAGCGAAAGCGUGGGGAGCGAACAGG